AUUGAACGCUGGCGGCAGGCCUAACACAUGCAAGUCGAGCGAGCGGCGGACGGGUGAGUAAUGUAUGGGGACUGCCCGAUAGAGGGGGAUAAAUACUGGAAACGGUGGCUAAUAGCGCAUACUAUCGGAUAACCCAUAUGGGAUUAGGUAGUAGGUGGGGUAAAUGCUCACCUAGGCGACGAUCUCUAGCUGGUCUGAGAGGAUGAUGAGCCACACGGUGACUGUGUCACGGCCCAUACUCCUACGGAGGCAGCAGGGGGGAAUAUUGCACAAUUGGCGCAAGCCUGAUGCAGCCAUGCCGCGUGUAUGAAGGAGGCCUUCGGGUUGUAAAGUACUUUCAGCGGGGAGGCGUUACCCGCAGAAGAGGCACCGGCUAACUCCGUGCCAGCCGCCGCGGUAAUAC
rnacentral:rRNA from 1 species